AGCCCGCCUCUAGCCCAACAUUUCGUAACAAGAGCUAAAACUAAAAAUUCACUUCUCCUCCAAAUUAAAACAUUCUUCAAACUUAGUAUAGGUGAUAGAAAAGACCCAUCUGGCGCGAUAGAGAGCUUUGUACCGUAAGGGAAAGAUGAAAUAAUAAUGAAACCCCAAGCAAUAAAUAGCAAAGAUGAACCCUUGUACCUCUUGCAUCAUGAUUUAGCAAGAACAACCAAGCAAAACGAAUUUAAGUUUGCCCUCCCGAAACCCAAGCGAGCUACUCACAAGCAGCUAUAUCUGAGCGAACCCGUCUCUGUUGCAAAAGAGUGGGAUGACUUGUUAGUAGAGGUGAAAAGCCAAUCGAGCUGGGUGAUAGCUGGUUGCCUGUGAAAUGAAUCUAAGUUCUUCCUUAAUUCCCCUCUAACGGACACCCGCCAAGCCUUCAUGUAGAGAGUUAAGAGAAAUUUAAAGGAGGUACAGCUCCUUUAAAAAAGAACACAAUCUCCUCUAGCGGAUAACUUCCACCAACACCCAUCCACGAACUGUGGGCCUUCAAGCAGCCACCAAUAAAGAAUGCGUCAAAGCUCAACAACUUAAAAAUAUAAAAACAAUAUGACUCCCUUAUCUUUAACAGGCUAACCUAUAAUAAUAGGAGAAUUAAUGUUAAAAUGAGUAACUAGGGCCUCCCCUCUCAAGCGCAAGCUUACAUUUACACAUUAUUAACAGACCCACCAAUACUACAAUUUCAACAAGAUUGGGUAUUGACCGCUCCUGUUAACCCAACCCUGGAGCGCCUACUAGAAAGAUUAAAAUCUGCAAAAGGAACUAGGCAAGCCCAGGGCCCGACUGUUUACCAAAAACAUAGCCUUCAGCCCUCCAAGUAUUGAAGGUGAUGCCUGCCCGGUGACUAUGUUUAACGGCCGCGGUAUCCUAACCGUGCGAAGGUAGCGCAAUCAAUUGUCCCAUAAAUCGAGACUAGUAUGAAUGGCUAAACGAGGUCCUAACUGUCUCUUGCAGAUAAUCAGUGAAAUUGAUCUCCCUGUGCAAAAGCAGGAAUACACACAUAAGACGAGAAGACCCUGUGGAACUUAAAAAUCAGUGGCCACUGCAUAUAAACCCAAGCCCAUUAGGCUCACUACCAUUAAACACUGGCUCACAUUUUUUGGUUGGGGCGACCUUGGAGAAAAGCAGAUCCUCCAAAAAUAAGACAACCAAUCUUAACCAAGAGCAACCUCUCAACGUACUAACAGUAAUCCGACCCAAUACAAUUGAUCAAUGGACCAAGCUACCCCAGGGAUAACAGCGCAAUCUCCUUCAAGAGCCCAUAUCGACAAGGAGGUUUACGACCUCGAUGUUGGAUCAGGACACCCUAAUGGUGUAGCCGCUAUUAAGGGUUCGUUUGUUCAACGAUUAAUAGUCCUACGUGAUCUGAGUUCAGACCGGAGUAAUCCAGGUCGGUUUCUAUCUAUGACAGGCCUUCCCUAGUACGAAAGGACCGGGAAGGUGGGGCCAAUACCACUAGCACGCCCUCCCCGCAAGUAAUGCAAGCAACUGAAUUACCAAACAGGAUGCCCAUACAACUUAAGUCCUAGAAAAGGAUCG
rnacentral:rRNA from 1 species